GUGAGAGACGACGAGGACGAUGAAGUCUGUCUUUUCUUUUUUUUCAAUUUUUUUCUCUAAUUUAUUUUAGAUAGAAUAAUUCAUUUUAUUAAAAAAACCAUUAAAAUUCAUUUAAUUUUCCUAGGUAUUAGUUAAUAAAUGUUUUUUAUAUUUUCAAUUUAUUUCCUCCUUUUCAAUUCAUAUUCCCAUUGUAAACCCAACAGCCAAGCAGCUGGGUUUAAUCACUAGUAGACCAACAGAUUUCUUUUUUUAUUUAGUUUUUUUUUAUUUUAAUUCUAUUUUUAAUUUAUCUUGGUUUAUAUAUCUAAAUUAGCAUUGUAAAUAAAAACUAGUCAUAAGUGGCCUGGUGGAGAGGGGUGGUUUCCAUAGUCUCAAGAGGAGUGGGUUCAAUACUCGUAUGUAGCACCUUUUUUAGUAUUUCAUUUUCUUUUAGCAUUUUUUUUUUAGUAUUUUAUUUUCUUUUAGCAUUUUGUUUCUUUUAAUAUUUUUUAUGUCCAUGUUUUUUAUUAAAUUCAUCAUGCAUUCAAAACCAUUUUUAAACUAUAAAAAUCAUAUUUUUCUCGAUUUAAUAUCGAGCCCAUUUCCACACCCUUGUAAGUCGACUGCUUUUUAAGCAUCGCCAUCAAUCUCACAUAGCUUACUCUUGGACUUUCUUACAAUGAGCCGGUUCUCUUGCACUUACACUCAUACUUCGCAUCAUUUUAUUGUUUGGGCCCGAUU
rnacentral:lncRNA from 1 species